rnacentral:rRNA from 1 species
AUGGCGGACUUGAAGAGAAAUGAGCACGUUGGAGAGCGCUCUGUGUUUCCUUACCUGACCGCUCUAGUCAACUGCGCCCUUUGGCUUUGCUACGGCAUCUCACCAAUGGGUAGCAGUCUCAUAAUUGUGAUCAAUGUGUUCGGGGCUGCAUGGGAGAUCUAUUACAUUUACACAUUCCUGUACUUCUGUGAGGAAGAUCAACGUCCGUGGGGAUUCAUUUAUGCGUGGUUCGGAAUCCUUAUUGUUUUUCUAGCAGAUAUGGCAAAAUACAAGUUAUUCUUCAGCUGGGCCUGCGCCCUGUGUGGCAGUUUGGUAUCGGUUUCCCCUCUGUUCAACUUGGGGACUGUGCGUCGGCAGAAGAGCAUGGACUCGAUGCCACCAUUGCUUCAAGUGGUGUUGUCUUUGGCGAACACAACGCUCUGGCGAACACAACGCUCUGGGCUGGAUACGCCUACAUGGCUGAAAAAUGCGACAAUUUCAUCUUUUACCCAAGCUUGGUAG